rnacentral:lncRNA from 1 species
CACAUCCAAAGAUGCCUAGGCUUCAAAUCAAAUAGUUCAUUCUAGAGAGACCCCUAGCCUGGGAACCUCCAUAUGCCACAAGUGCGGCCUUAAAAUAAAAAAAAAAUAAAAAAAAAGACAAAAAAAGAAAGAAAGAAAAUCUAUGCAGAGGGUAGAGCAGAAACAAGCCAGUGGUUUUGUUUUCUGUAUCCACAAGCUAGGUGGUUGACAGGCCAGUGGAGAAAGGGUGUCCAGAGCUGAGGCAGGCUCUCCUAAGGGUGGGGAUCGCCCUAGGGUGAAAAGCUUCGGUUCUUUUCGGCUUGUAGAGAUGAGUGAGUGUGAGAGAGGGCUGUGCAUGGUGUAGGAGUGGCACAGCAGUGAUUCUGACACUGGCUGGUGCUUUAGCUUAUCUUCAGUUUCCUAGUUCAUGGGAAGAUCUAUCCCAUUUGGUUAAAGGUGCCAAAAGAAGUGGACCACAGCAUCAUGAAUAUCUUAUCUAUAAAUUCUUUAUGAUGACUCAUGUUGUAGUUGGCUGAGAGUUUUUUUUUUUUUAACACAUUGCUCACCUCAUGAAAAUCAGUUUGAUGGAUUUAGUUACAUUAAUAAAAAUAUUUAGACAUCAUAGCUAGAGCUGGUGAAUGUUACCAGUAAUAUAAAUUUAAAAACCAAGUACAACGUUCAGACAAAACAAGUUAAUUUAGUUGACACAAUUCUGAGUUAUAAAAGCACAGACCAGCAUCUGAAGGGAAUGCGUUUAGGAUUUUUAAUGUGGCAAUUAAACAUGGUUAGGGGCCUAUGUAAAUUAGCAUGUUUUUAACUGCAUUUAUGGUCAUCUUAAUCUGAUAUGGCUGACUUAAUUUCAUAGUCAUUUGAGGAUAGUUAAUUCUACUUUAUAGUUACUUACCAGGAAAUUAUGCCUCAUGCUGUGUAGUGAGGUUUUGUAAAUGAAUCUAAAGAAAAUUGUUAUUGUUGGGGGAAAAAAAUUCUUUGUUUAAGCACCAUCUCACGGUUGCUGCCUCUAAGGGAUUGUUGCUGCAUGGUAUUUAAAAAAAGAUUUUAAUGUGUUUUAUAUCUAUCUUGUCAGUUUUUGAGUAGAAAAACACAGAUGUGUGAGUUUAGUAAAAAACUUAAAUACCUCUCUGGGACCAGUCUAUGGCCACAUCUCCCUGAACUAUCGGUGAUUAUUUCUGUGGUAUAGAUGAGUUUGCAGUUUAUGAAGUACUGUACUAGUUGAUAAUAAUCUUUUGGCUUGUACAUACAUAUUUUAAAAAUCUUUCAAAUAAAAUAUAUGUUAAGGGAGUUCCUAUUGUGGUUCAGUGGUAAUGAACCCAACUAGUAAACAUGAGGACGCGGGUUCGAUCCCUGGUCUUGAUCAUUAGGUUAAGGAUUUGGCGUUGGCAUGAGCUGCAGUGUAGGUUGCAGACACCGCUCAGAUCUGGCCUUGCUGUGGCUGUGGCAUAGGUUGGCAGCUGUAGCUCUGAUUUGACCCUUAGCCUGCGGCGGAGCUUCCUUAUGCAGCACAUGCAGUCCUAAAAAGCAAAAAAAAAAAAAAAAAAAAAAAAAAAAA